AAAAACGAAUGACAUACGCUUUGGAGACUUUCCAGAUUCGACGUACUUUUCCUAUUUUCUUCCGCGUUUAUUUAUUUAUGCAUAUGUGUACAUAUGUAUAUGUUUUAUACACUAAUAUGUGUCAAGACCCGGAGUCUGCCUCGGUUAAUAACUUGGAUAACCGCGAAAAGGCUGGGCAUUUGAACUCAGCAGGGAAGUGAAAAAGCUUCCGGUUCGUUAGUGGUCUUGUUGUACUUAAGUUCGGUUCAUUGGAUGCUCGUGCAGUUUAUGGGAGACGAUUUGCCUGUUUAUGUCUACAAUAUCGAUUUUCAACUAGGUGGUGUGCAAUGUGGUGAAUAGUGGGCGACAUGCGCUGCUCAAGAGGUGGAUUAUGCGCGUAUGUUCGAUAUUUGGCACAUGCUCAGUGUUUGGAAAACAGAGAAAAUUCAUAUAAAAACUGGAGUUUAAUGGAAAAUAUGUAUUUUUAUUCAUUCAUUGAGCUAUAAUAGCGUUUUCUAGUGCAUCGAGUUGAUUUUACUUAAACAGAAACUUGCCGGCGCCACACCCUUUUUAAUGACAACAAAUGACGAGUCAGAAACCCUGCCAAAAAUUAUGUCGUCUGGCGACAACCUGCUUAAUAACAAUUUGUCAGUAAUAUAUUUAUUAUGCCUGAGAAAUUA